GACGAACCGUGCGAACGUUGUUCGGAAUCACUGGGCUUAAAGGGCGCGUAGGCGGUCUCCCAAGUCCGGGGUGAAAUCUUUCGGCCUAACCGGAAAAGGGCCUUGGAUACUGGGGGACUCGAGGGGGGUAGGGGCAAGCGGAACUUCCGGUGGAGCGGUGAAAUGCGUUGAUAUCGGAAGGAACGCCAGCGGCGAAAGCGGCUUGCUGGACCCCAUCUGACGCUGAGGCGCGAAAGCCAGGGGAGCGAACGGG
rnacentral:rRNA from 1 species